CCUACGGGUGGCAGCAGUGGGGAAUCUUUCACAAUGGGGGAAACCCUGAUGCAGCGACGCCGCGUGAGCGAGGAAGUAUUUCGGUAUGUAAAGCUCUAUCAGCAGGGACGAAAAAAGACGGUACCUGACUAAGAAACCCCGGCUAACUACGUGCCAGCAGCCGCGGUAAUACGUAGGGGGCAAGCGUUACCCGGUUUGACUGGGUGGAAGGGGAGCGGAGAGGGCAGGGCAAGCCAGAGGUGAAAGGGAAGGGCUCAACCCGGGACAGGGAUUUGGCACUGGGGGGCUAGAGUGCAGGAGGGGGAAGUGGAAUUCGGGGUGGAGCGGUGAAAUGCGUAGAGAGUGGGAGGAACACGAGUGGCGAAGGCGGGUUACUGGACUGUAACUGACGUGGAGGCUCGAAAGCGAGGGGAGCAAACGGGAUUAGAUACCCGGGUAGUC
rnacentral:rRNA from 1 species